rnacentral:rRNA from 1 species
AGAACGAACGCUGGCGGCAGGCUUAACACAUGCAAGUCGAGCGCACUCCUUCGGGGGUGAGCGGCGGACGGGUUAGUAACGCGUGGGAACGUGCCCUUUGCUCUGGAAUAGCCCUGGGAAACUGGGGGUAAUACCGGAUGUGCCCUUUGGGGGAAAGAUUUAUCGGCAAGGGGAUCGGCCCGCGUUGGAUUAGGUAGUUGGUGGGGUAAUGGCCCACCGAAGCCGACGAUCCAUAGCUGGUUGAGAGGAUGAUCAGCAACACUGGACUGAGACACGGCCAGACUCCUAGGAGCAGCAGUGGGAAUCGUUAGACAAUGGGGCAACCUGAUCUAGCCAUCGCGACGUGGUGAGUGAAGGUCCUUAGGGUACGUAAACG